UUCACACAACUCAUGUAAUACAUAAGGGAAAGAGAUACAUAGUUGGCUUACAAUCGCCACUUCACACAAUUACAUGAAUAAACAUUACACCAAUCAAAUACACUCAUGGUCCGACUACGGAACCAAAAUAAAAGAAGAACCCCAACUGCGACAAAAGGUCCCCGAUCGACCCCAACUGGGCUCCACUACUGAUCAACUAGAGCGAAACAACACAAAGGACAAGAUCUUCAUCGAGCUCCUCCUGAGCUUGGUUGUGUCAUCUACACGGACUCAUCGGCACCUGCAAGCUGGUUUUGGAAGUAUCUGUGAGCCACGGGGACUCAGCAAUCUCGCACCCUCGCGAUCAAGACUAUUUAAGCUUAUGGGUAAGGUAAAAGGUAUGAGGUGGAGCUGCAGCAAGCGACUAGCAUAUAUGGUGGCUAACAUACGCAAAUGAGAGCGAGAAGAGAAGGCAAAGCACGGUCGAUAAAAGUAUGAUCAAGAAGUGAUCCUAUAGCAACCUACGUCAAGCAUAACUCAAACAACCGUGUUCACUUUCCGGACUCCGCCGGAAAGAGACCAUCACGGUUACACACGUUGAUGAUUCAUUUUAAUUAAGUUAAGGUUCAAGUUAUCUACAACCGGACAUUAACAAAUUCCCAUCUGCCCAUAACCGCGGGCACGGCUUUUGAAAGUUCAAAUCCCUGCAGGGGUGUCCCAACUUAGCCCAUGACAAGCUCUCAUGGUCAACGAAGGAAUAGACCUCCACCCGAGACAUUCCGAUCAGACUCGGUAUCCCAGUACAACAAGACAUUUCGACAGGGUAAAACUAAACCAGCAACACCACCCGAAUGUGCCGACAAAUCCCGAUAGAAGCUGCACAUAUCUCUUUCUCAGGGCACACUCAGAUGAGACUAGCUACGAGUAAAACCAACCCUCAAGUUUCCCCGAGGUGGCCCCGCAGGCAGCUCAGUUCGAACCAACACUCAGAGGAGCACUGGCCCGGGGGAGUUAAAAUAAAGAUGACCCUCGGGCUGGCCAACCCAAGGGAAAGAAAAGGCUAGGUGGCGAAUGGUAAAACCAAUGUUGGGCAUUGCUGGAAGAGCUUUACUUAAAGCGAAUUGUCAAGGGGUUCCCAUUAUAGCCCAACCGCGUAAGGGACGCAAAUCCGGGAACAUAACACCGAUAUGACAGAAACUAGGGCGGCAAGAGUGGAACAAAACACCAGGCAUAAGGCCGAGCCUUCCACCCUUUACCAAGUAUAUAGAUGCAUUAAUUAAAUAAGAUAUAUAGUGAUAUCCCAACAAGUAAAUAUGUCCCAACAAGGAACGACAUCUCCAUGUUCCAACAAGGAACAAACUUCAAUCUUCACCUGCAACUAACAACGCUAUAAGAGGGGCUGAGCAAAGCGGUAACAUAGUCAAUCAACGGUUUGCUAGGACAAUGGUGGGUUAGAGGUUUGACAUGGCAAUUUGGGAGGCUUGCAAGCAAGUGGUAGGCAUCGUAGCAAUGGCAUAGCAAAAGAGCGAGCAAACUAGCAUAGCAAAGAUAGUAGUGAUUUCGAGGGUAUGAUCAUCUUGCCUGAAAUCCCGCAAGGAAGAAAUACGAGUCCGUGAAGAAGACAAACGGUCGUAGUCGAACGGAUCCUCACAAACGCGAUGUUCACGGAACCAACCCGAAGGAGCAAACACCGGAAAAGAAGCACACCACAUAGUAAACAACCACCACAUGAACAUGGCAUGAUGCACAAUCAAGUAUGAUGCAUGUCCGGUUUAAGUAUGCAUGGCAUGGCAAAGUGCACAAACAAUCCUACAAAUUAAGUGGAGCUCAAUAUGCAUCGGGAUGCAUAUUGACAAAACACCACAUCAAUUAUUUAGUUCUCUCUCGUUUAUGUACCCCAACAAUAUUAAAUGUUGAUUAACAUGGCAAGAGGCGAAGCACAACAAAACUACCCAUCUAGGCAAGUUUAAAUGAGGCCGGAAGCAACGAACAACAAUUCCGGAAAAUCCUCAUAUGCAUAAUUUAAGGUUUGAUACUGUUCUGCCCUAAACCAAAUUUUAGAGCUAUUAAACAUGCAAGAUGAUGCCACCAUGUUAAACUAGGCAAAAUUCUACCCCAUUUACAUAUAAAGUUUGUUAGAUUCGGAGCUACGGUUAUUUAGUUAUGAGUUAAAACAUUUUAGCAUGGCAUAGGAGCAAAUUAAUGCAAACAACAUUUUAAUUAUUUUAAACAUAGCUGAAAGUUGGAUAUUAUUAAUCUACACAAAAUUCUGAGCAAGUUUCAUAUAUAAAACAAUUUAAUCCGAUGCACGGUUAGUGAGUUAUUAAAUGCAUGAACUAGGGGGCCUAAUCUGUAAAACAGCAAUCUCCGGAAUAAUAGACAAAUUCGCAGAACCCGAAAAAGAAACAUAUAGGGCCGAAUCUGGGGCAAGCCCCAGCAGGAAGGGAAAAAACAACAGGGGGGCGCUGGGGGGUGGCUCACCCAUGGGCUUGGCCUGUUUCGGUGGGGAGGAGGCCGGCUUGGGGCUGCGGGGCUGGGCCGGAUCUGGCAUGGCGGCCCGGCAGAGAGGAGGGGCUGGCGCUGGGCCUCGCGCAGGACGCGGCCCAUGUCAGGUGGAGGCGGGCGCUCGUCAUCUCCCUCAACAGGAGGUCGAGCGAGGCCAUGGCAGGGGCGCCAGCGGCGAUCCAUGGCGAUGGCGGGCGGCGAGAGGCAGGGGAUCGAUGGGGACGACGGAUCUGGAGUGGUGGAGGCCGGAUCGGGCUCCGGGGACCCAUUCCCGGCGAGGGCGAGGGUUAGGCGCCAUGGUGGCGGCGCUGACCAAGGAGGAGAGCAGAGGGGUUAGGGAGAGAAAGAGAGACAGGGAGGAAAGGAAAAGGCGACGGCGGCGUGACCUGGGUUCAAGGCGGCCGGCGACGAGCAUGCUCGGGAUCGGGCUCCGGCAGCGAGGAGAUGGUGCGGCGGGGGUAGACUCCCUCGAUCCAGGUCGGGAUUGAGGAGGCUGCGGGAGGCCGGGCGCGCGCGGCAGAUGGGCUCCGCGGGCCCCUCUUGGGCCUGGCGGAGCCGCGGGAGGUGGGAGGAGGCCAGGGGCGACGUGGCGGCUUCCUGGUGGUGGAGGGCGGCGGCUGCGGCGGCGCUGGCCGCACAGGUGGCGCCAAGUGGCGAGGUAGGGGUGGUGCGGUGCGGAAAUGGAGGUGGGAGGCGGCUAGAGGUAGGUGGGGGCUAGGGAUGCCCAUAAAUGGAAGGGGAAGGUCUAUAUAUAGACAAGGGGGCUAGGUUAGGGGGAUUUUUGUCCGUUCCGGAGCCUCCGAUCGCAAUCUGACGGACCAGAACGGAGGGGGGUUUAGAUAGGUGGGCUAGUGGGCUGUGCAGAAAGGCUCGAGCUGAGAGAAGAGAAGAGAGAGAGACCCGGCAGCAGUUUCUCGAAGACCGAAAAACGUCCGACGUUAGACCGGCUAUACUGCCGCUAUAGUUAAUCGUUGGGGCGUCAAACGAACUCCGAAUGCGACGAAAAUUGACAGGCGGCCUACCUACAACAUAAAAACACCGCACGCCAACUUUCAUCCCAUUCUGAAAACAUUUCCCGGCCACUUAUAAAAUAAUAUUUCGGACAUGCCGCGGGCGCGUGCAAGUGUGUGUGGGCUCAGAACGGACAAUGGAUGGCACUGGGGAAACCCGGACGGAUGCAAGUUUUGAAAACAUGAUGAUGCAAUGCACAUGAUGACAUGACAAGAUGCAACACGCAAGCACAUGACACGGCAACGACAACGAAUAACUGGAAGACACCUGGCACAUCGGUCUCGGGGCGUUACAACACUCCACCACUACGAGAGGAUCUCGUCCCGAGAUCUAGAAUGGCACCGGAGGGAAAGCGGAAGAGAUAAGAGAAGAGGUAAAACAAAUUGCUUCUUUGACAAACGAGUGAAUCCAAGAACCUUGAAAGUUUGAACAAAAGACAGAAAGAAAGCAACGGAGAUGAACGAAGUUGAAAAACACUCCGUUAGGGAAAAAGAACAAGGAAGAACAACUUUGGGCAGCACUCCGGUUGAAAAGAGAUGCAAGGCUUGAUAAGGCGAAAAGAACUUGAACAAAGGGGCACAAUAAUCCGAUUAAGCAAGAUAGGGAAGGAAUAAGAGUGAUAUAAUUUGGACAGCACUCCGCCUGUAAAUGGAAGGAAUUGAACUUGACAAGAUGAGAGGAUACUUGAAAAGAGGACACAACACUCCGGUUAAAAGGAUAGGCAUGAAAAGAACAUGAUCUUAGGCAAACGAGAUGAUGGGUUGAGAAGAGCAACAUCAGUAGACCUCCAGGAGAAAGAAUAGAAUAAAGAUAAUUGAGACAAACGAAUAUAGAAGACAAUGCCAACUUCUACUACAAAAGAGCUUGAAAAGGCAUUUUUAGGAGAAGGGUUUAACGGAGUUGUUGUGAAAACCCACAUCGAAAAAUAAUAAGCUUGAUAUGGUCUUAAGGAAUACCUCUCAAAUUAUGAGGUGAAAAACCUGCCACUCACGGGAAAAGAAUUGGAUUGAUAAGAACAAGGAGACGAGAAAGUUAUAUCACCGGGAGGAUAAAAGAAGAACUUGGGUCAUCUAUGAGCACCAUAAUAGCAACAAUCCUUAGGGAAAGCUUUAGGUGAAAUAUAACCCAAGGUAACUCCAAUGACGAGAUUGGUGGAUUUAAAAUACCUCAUCUUGGUAACUUGUGAAACACAAAGCACGAAGGGAAAAUUAUCAAGAAUGACAUAACACCACCUCAAAAGAUAUGCGUGAAAGAAUUGCAUUUUGGAAUGGAAGAUGAUGAAAGCUUGUGUUCCCCUGAACAGAAUAUUGAUGAACACUUCGAGAAGAAAUUAAAUCCUUGAUGAACCAUCAUGUAGAACCUUUAUGAAGGAUUCCGUUAAACAAAAGAUAACGAAAAGAGAGAGAAGUUGCAAACACAAGGUGAAACCUUGUAAUGAUUUAGAUGAACCUCCGUGGUGAUAUAAUUGCGAGAGGUAGGAACUCCGGGAAAAGAUAAGAUGAACAAUUGAGAUCAAUAAUAAAUAUGAUGAACCACUCCGGAAAACAGGAAUUGAAUAAACUCGAUGAAACAAGAAUAAGAACUACAUUAUGCGUAUCCUUCACCAAUUUAAAAUUGAUGACAAGCAAUGGAAUUGGCAUACUACUUAUUCUCGUAGAAAGAUUAAGAGAGAUAUAACAUAAACUCAAUGGACCACCGGUAGGAUUGAAGCAACGAAUGAAUUGAUAUGAUAAGAAAGAAGAAAAAUCUUGAACGAACCACCGUAAGCAUUGGCAAAGAACGAAGUAAAGGGAUAAAUCACCGGAAAGGAAUUAGAGAACGAAUGAAAAUACUUGAUGGAAAUUAGAUCCACGAGAACAAAAGAUCAUGAGCUGAUUAGAGAAUAUUGAAUGAUGCACCGGUGAGAUUUGGGGAACGAGAGCUGAAAGCUGAGAAUGAACAAGUCUUCUGAAAUGAUGGACUCCGGAUAAUCAAAUUGAAAAGGCUCCUGAAUUGCUCCGGAUGGAUAAAAGAAUUCUCGCAAUUAAACAACUAUGAGAGGAUGGCCUCGAAUUAGAACCACGAAUCUCUGAGAGAACGGAUAAGAUAUGGAGGUAAAACUCUUCUUCGGUCUUCAAAUGACGACGAGAAACACCACCAAGAAUUAUUGAGGCACACCGGAAUGAAAAAUGGAAAAGUUUAACCAACGAUGAAAAGAAUUUGAAAGAUCAAGGAGAAAGGCAUUUGACUGAUGAUAACUCAUUCUUACGUCAAACUUGGAAAAGAAUUUGAGAGUAACGCCGGGAAAAUAAGAAGAGUCAGGUAAGAUCCUGGAAAAAGACCUGUGGGUUAGGGCCCACUCAAAAGAAACACCGUUGAACGAUUUGAAGAGAGAUAAUGCACCGGUUGAAAUAAAAGACUUGAAUGAGAGAACAUCCUCGAAAGAUCUUGAACGAAUGCAUAGUGAAAACACGAAUCUUCGAGAUAUCUUGAGAUUCAGGAACAAUUGAAUAGCGAGAAAUGAAUGAAUAUGAGGAGCACCGUCAAGAGAAGGUAUUUGAAACGAGAAAAGGGGAUAUAAUCGACAAAUCUUGACUUGAAUCCACCGGAGAAGGAAAGAAAGAAGAAUGACGAACUUGAAGCUCCGUUAGAAACUUCAUGAGAAUCACCGGAUAAGAACAUUGAAGGAAAAGAAUGGAGAGACUUCACAUCAAUAAGAUGGAUACUUGAUCAAUAAUUCUGAAUCCUUCAAGAAAACAAGGGUAGAAGGGUGGGAAAACACCGUUGAGAACGAAACGAACACCAUUGAGAAGAAAUGAUAAUUGAUCUUGCUGAUGUUGAAAUGAUCGGAUCCACUUGAAAAGAGACACACCGGUUGAAAAGGAUUGGCAAGACAAUCUCGAUUAUCCAGAAUGAUUAGUAUACAAAUCGGAGUAUGAGAACACCAUUUGGGGAAGGUAUGGAAUCUACAUUUGACAUCGAAGCAACUCGAAUACCACAACUCAAAACAAAACAAAGGGUUAGCUUGCAGAAUAAGCCAGAACAAACAUAUGAUAGAGAUUUCGUCCGAAGUUUUCAUGGUGGGGCCUACACGGGCUCGAUCGUACAGCACCAUCAUGUACAAGGCAGUGCACAUGACCUAUGAAGCGUCCCCGAGUCGGCAUAGCCAAGGACUCUUUAAGACACAACGAGACCACUGUAAAGCCGACCGUGAAUAGGCGGACCACUAGACGUUGAACCCCAAUUUCAAAUCAUACAUCUGUCGGAAAGAUAUCCUAAGAGAUACUUGAAUUCCCACCUAUGAAACUCCCGAAAUUUUCGGGUUAUGCAAUCAGGUGUUGGGGAUACAGGGGAAGCAUAAUAUCUCACCCAAACUAGCAAAUCCUACAUCCAGCUGUAUCCAUCCUUUAACACAUAACCAAGAAACCUUCGGAAAUCAUCUACCUCAACCUUUGAAAAGCAUCCGUUAUACAAGUUAUGGCGAUACUCCCGAACUCCCGCCCCAGUACUGGGUGGCGUCGAGGUUAUCUCACCAACGAACUGCAUAAAAGAGAUUUUCGAUGUCGGCGUACUAAACUCAGGUAUUCCAGAACUGCAAUGAUAAAAUUAUGACGACAACACCUCAGAGCUCAACUCCCCGGGACACUUCCACUAAACCCCUGACAGGAGGCACCAAGACAAUGUUCUCAUCAUAAAACCAUCAGAACGAUUCCAAGAUACCCGCGUGAUCCUAAAAAAAUUAGUGAAAUUUGAGAAGAGAAGAGUCAAAACUCUACGUCAGGAUGCCUUACCAGAGCGAUGAGGAGACUGAGAAGUAAAAAGAAUUCCUAAACUCUCCGAUAUAUAAUUCCUAAAAGACUCAAAACAUUUUUCUAGACACAACUCGGCCGCUAAAAACGAUCAAGCAAUGGGGCUCCUAAGAUCGGGGAAGGCUCUGAUUACCAACUUGUAACACCCUCGAUGCGACUAUAGCUCCCACGUGUCGAGGCACGACUUAGAGACAUAAUCGCAUUGAAGGCAUAUGUCGCAAGUGAGGUAAUCUUCACACAACCCAUGUAAUACAUAAGGGAAAGAGAUACAUAGUUGGCUUACAAUCGCCACUUCACACAAUUACAUGAAUAAACAUUACACCAAUCAAAUACACUCAUGGUCCGACUACGGAACCAAAAUAAAAGAAGAACACCAACUGCGACAAAAGGUCCCCGAUCGACCCCAACUGGGCUCCACUACUAAUCAACUAGAGCGAAACAACACAAAGGACAAGAUCUUCAUCGAGCUCCUCCUGAGCUUGGUUGCAUCAUCUACACGGACUCAUCGACACCUGCAAGCUG
rnacentral:lncRNA from 1 species